UACGUAGGUGGCGAGCGUUGUCCGGAUUUACUGGGCGUAAAGGGAGCGUAGGCGGACUUUUAAGUGAGAUGUGAAAUACUCGGGCUCAACUUGAGUGCUGCAUUUCAAACUGGAAGUCUAGAGUGCAGGAGAGGAGAAUGGAAUUCCUAGUAGCGGUGAAAUGCGUAGAGAUUAGGAAGAACACCAGUGGCGAAGGCGAUUCUCUGGACUGUAACUGACGCUGAGGCUCGAAAGCGUGGGGAGCAAACAGG
rnacentral:rRNA from 1 species